rnacentral:rRNA from 1 species
GACGAACGCUGGCGGCGUGCUUAACACAUGCAAGUCGAACGGAAAGGCCCUGCUUUUGUGGGGUGCUCGAGUGGCGAACGGGUGAGUAACACGUGAGUAACCUGCCCUUGACUUUGGGAUAACUUCAGGAAACUGGGGCUAAUAUCGGAUAUGAGCUCCUGCUGCAUGUUGGGGGUUGGAAAGUUUCGGCGGUUGGGGAUGGACUCGCGGCUUAUCAGCUUGUUGGUGGGGUAGUGGCUUACCAAGGCUUUGACGGGUAGCCGGCCUGAGAGGGUGACCGGCCACAUUGGGACUGAGAUACGGCCCAGACUCCUACGGGAGGCAGCAGUGGGGAAUAUUGCACAAUGGGCGGAAGCCUGAUGCAGAAACGCCGCGUGCGGGAUGACGGCCUUCGGGUUGUAAACCGCUUUCGCCUGUGACGAAGAGUGAGUGACGGUAAUGGGUAAAGAAGCAACGGCUAACUACGUG